UACGGAGGGUGCAAGCGUUAUCCGGAUUUCUUGGGUUUAAAGGGUGCGUAGGUGGGCAGGUAAGUCAGGGGUGAAAUCUCCAAGCUUAACUUGGAAACUGCCGUUGAUACUAUCUGUCUUGAAUAUUGUGGAGGUGAGCGGAAUAUGUCAUGUAGCGGUGAAAUGCUUAGAUAUGACAUAGAACACCAAUUGCGAAGGCAGCUCACUACACAAUCAUUGACUCUGAGGCACGAAAGCGUGGGGAUCAAACAGG
rnacentral:rRNA from 1 species